rnacentral:rRNA from 2 species
CUGGGAUAACUCCGGGAAACCGGAGCUAAUACCGGAUAGUUCCUUGAACCGCAUGGUUCAAGGAUGAAAGACGGUUUCGGCUGUCACUUACAGAUGGACCCGCGGCGCAUUAGCUAGUUGGUGGGGUAAUGGCUCACCAAGGCGACGAUGCGUAGCCGACCUGAGAGGGUGAUCGGCCACACUGGGACUGAGACACGGCCCAGACUCCUACGGGAGGCAGCAGUAGGGAAUCUUCCGCAAUGGACGAAAGUCUGACGGAGCAACGCCGCGUGAGUGAUGAAGGUUUUCGGAUCGUAAAGCUCUGUUGUUAGGGAAGAACAAGUGCGAGAGUAAACUGCUCGCACCCUUGACGGUACCUAACCAGAAAGCCACGGCUAACUACUGCCAGCAGCCGCGGUAAUACGUAGGUGGCAGCGUUGUCCGGAAUUAUUGGGCGUAAAGGGCUCGCAGGCGGUUUCUUAAGUCUGAUGUGAAAGCCCCCGGCUCAACCGGGGAGGGUCAUUGGAAACUGGGAAACUUGAGUGCAGAAGAGGAGAGUGGAAUUCCACGUGUAGCGGUGAAAUGCGUAGAGAUGUGGAGGAACACCAGUGGCGAAGGCGACUCUCUGGUCUGUAACUGACGCUGAGGAGCGAAAGCGUGGGGAGCGAACAGGAUUAGAUACCCUGGUAGUCCACGCCGUAAACGAUGAGUGCUAAGUGUUAGGGGGUUUCCGCCCCCUUAGUGCUGCAGCUAACGCAUUAAGCACUCCGCCUGGGGAGUACGGUCGCAAGACUGAAACUCAAAGGAAUUGACGGGGGCCCGCACAAGCGGUGGAGCAUGUGGUUUAAUUCGAAGCAACGCGAAGAACCUUACCAGGUCUUGACAUCCUCUGACAACCCUAGAGAUAGGGCUUUCCCUUCGGGGACAGAGUGACAGGUGGUGCAUGGUUGUCGUCAGCUCGUGUCGUGAGAUGUUGGGUUAAGUCCCGCAACGAGCGCAACCCUUGAUCUUAGUUGCCAGCAUUCAGUUGGGCACUCUAAGGUGACUGCCGGUGACAAACCGGAGGAAGGUGGGGAUGACGUCAAAUCAUCAUGCCCCUUAUGACCUGGGCUACACACGUGCUACAAUGGACAGAACAAAGGGCUGCAAGACCGCAAGGUUUAGCCAAUCCCAUAAAUCUGUUCUCAGUUCGGAUCGCAGUCUGCAACUCGACUGCGUGAAGCUGGA